AGAACGAACGCUGGCGGCAGGCUUAACACAUGCAAGUCGAGCGCUCGCAGCAAUGCGGGAGCGGCAGACGGGUGAGUAACGCGUGGGAACAUACCCUUCGGUUCGGAAUAGCUCAGGGAAACUUGAAUUAAUACCGGAUACGGCCAGAAGUGAAAAUUUCUGGCGAAAGAUUUAUCGCCGAAGGAUUGGCCCGCGUUCGAUUAGCUAGUUGGUGAGGUAACGGCUCACCAAGGCGACGAUCGAUAGCUGGUCUGAGAGGAUGAUCAGCCACAUUGGGACUGAGACACGGCCCAAACUCCUACGGGAGGCAGCAGUGGGGAAUAUUGGACAAUGGGCGCAAGCCUGAUCCAGCCAUGCCGCGUGAGUGAUGACGGCCUUAGGGUUGUAAAGCUCUUUCGCUAGGGACGAUAAUGACGGUACCUAGACAAGAAGCCCGGCUAACUUCGUGCCAGCAGCCGCGGU
rnacentral:rRNA from 1 species